GUGCUUGUUUCGGCACACAUAUACUAAAAUCGGAAUGAUACUGAGAAGAUUAGCAUGGCCCCUGAGCAAGGAUGACAUGUACAUUCGUGAUACAUUCCUUAUUUUG
rnacentral:snRNA from 1 species